AGAUCAUUAUGUGGAUAGUUUCUCAACAAAACUUUGUACCUCUCCCAUGAUUCAUAAAGCGACUCGCCUCCUUGUUGUUCGGAAAUUGCAAUUUCUUUCUUCAAUUU